rnacentral:rRNA from 1 species
GAUGAACGCUAGCUACAGGCUUAACACAUGCAGGUCGAGGGGCGAGCAUGGUCGUUAGUCUUGCUAAGGCCGAUGGCGACCGGCGGCACGGGUGAGUAACACGUAUCCAACCUGCCGUCUACUCUUGGACAGCCUUCUGAAAGGAAGAUUAAUACAAGAUGGCAUCAUGAGUCCGCAUGUUCACAUGAUUAAAGGUAUUCCGGUAGACGAUGGGGAUGCGUUCCAUUAGAUAGUAGGC